rnacentral:rRNA from 1 species
GACGAACGCUGGCGGCGUGCUUAACACAUGCAAGUCGAACGGGAUUUAGUAAACAGCAGCCUCGGUGGAAGAUUACUAAUGAGAGUGGCGAACGGGUGAGUAACGCGUGAGCAACCUGCCUAUGACAGUGGGAUAGCCUCGGGAAACCGGGAUUAAUACCGCAUAAAAUCGUAGAAACACAUGUUUUAACGGUCAAAGAUUUAUCGGUCAUAGAUGGGCUCGCGUCUGAUUAGCUAGUUGGUGAGAUAACAGCCCACCAAGGCGACGAUCAGUAGCCGGUCUGAGAGGAUGAACGGCCACAUUGGAACUGAGACACGGUCCAAACUCCUACGGGAGGCAGCAGUGGGGAAUAUUGCACAAUGGGGGAAACCCUGAUGCAGCGACGCCGCGUGAACGAAGAAGGUAUUCGUAUCGUAAAGUUCUGUCCUAUGGGAAGAUAAUGACAGUACCAUAGAAGAAAGCUCCGGCUAAAUACGU